rnacentral:rRNA from 1 species
UACGUAGGGGGCGAGCGUUGUCCGGAUUUACUGGGCGUAAAGAGCGCGCAGGCGGCUGGGCAAGUGCGAUGUGAAAGCUUCCGGCUUAACUGGAAAAUUGCAUCGGAAACUGCUCGGCUUGAAGGUGGGAGAGGGUAGCGGAAUUCCCGGUGUAGUGGUGAAAUGCGUAGAUAUCGGGAGGAACACCAGUGGCGAAGGCGGCUACCUGGCCCACUCUUGACGCUGAGGCGCGAAAGCUAGGGGAGCAAACGGG